UGAGAUUUGGGUGGAGACACACAGCCAAACCAUAUCAAUCAAAAAAAAAGAGAAAAGCUUCUAUAGAAUUGUGGUCUGGCAUCCUGACAGCAAAUGUCGAUUUCCUUAUGAAGAUAAAAUCCUUUUAAUUAUCAGAGUAAGCACCCUCCAAAUGCCCCACCAUAUAGUCUUAAAGUGUGGAAAUAUAUUCCUUUUUCAUUCUUUAUGGAAUAAACAGAGAGAGCGGUACAAGUUGUUGAGGAGUGGCCUUUGGUCCUCUGUGUCAGGAAUGCAGAAAGGAUAAGGCUCCCAAUUGUGCUGUCAAGUCAAAAGAUGCUGAUAGAACUUGUGGGGGAGACACAGCUUUCACCCUUGGGUUACUGACUCAUUUUGCAGGAAGAUGACCAUCUUUUACUGCCCAACGACAUCUUUCUACCAAUGUGAACAGAGACUAGCAGCACAGUGAUCACCUGCAGAUAGACCUGGCUUUAUCUGUACAUAACACCAAAAGAAAAAACCUGGAUUCCAGAAGGAAAUAAAGAUUUUCAGUCCCUGCAAGAAUUCUCAAUGUUCUUCACAUAAUUUGGAGAAGAGAGAGACACAGGGGGAAGAUGGCCAUGUGAAGAUGGAGGCAGAGACUGGAGUGAUACAUCCACAAGCUAUGGAAUGCCAAGGUUUGCCAGCCAUUUAUAAGAAGCUAGGAGACAGGCGUGGAACACAUUCUCCCUCUGAACCCUCAGAAGGAACCAACACUGCCGACAUUUUGAUUCCGGACUUCUGACCUCCAGAACAAGAACCCAGACUAGCCCCAGCACUCCAGGCAAUCACCACCAAACAAUGAGAGUUGGCACAGGAUACAAGACUUCUGUCCUUCUAUGACAUGGAUUUCUUCAGCAUCCAGGUUUGCAGACUAAUGAGCAUCACCUUAAAGUAGGGCAGUGUAACUUCCUGGAAAUCAACAAUAUGUACCGUCUAAUGCCUCUUUACGCUGCAGCUCUGGGCAGACUGUAGAAUGGCCAGGCUAGCCUGCCAUGUGGGGAAACCAAUCCUGAGUAUAACCCACAGCUCCUUGUCCAUGCAAUGGGAGAUGGUCCUUUAAUGCCCAGCACAGAUUUUUUAUUGGAAUUUCCAAAGAGCAUAUCCCAUGAGCCUCGUUUCACCACAGAUAAUCAGACUAAUUCCUCAGACUCCACAGUGCCAAGUCUUUCCUUACUUGCUAGCUUCAGUGUCUGCUUUGGCCUCCUGCCCUGCUUAUGAAGCUCUGGCCCUCUCCACUGUAGAUUCCACAGCCCAUGACCUUGACUCAACUCUGUAUCUGACUCCAGCCACCCCGGGCUGACUUGCUGCCCCUUUCUCCUGCCAGCCAGGGCCCAGCAGCCCCAGAAUUGCCUGCCCUCUGUUGCCCCAUCUGCCCCUGGCCACCCAUCUCCAACACUGAAUCUCCCCAGAUGUGUCUGAUGUCUCAGCACUUUCCCUACUAGCAGCGAGUGGCACUCA
rnacentral:lncRNA from 1 species